AGGUAGAGGUGCGCAAUUCAUAAGUAGCCGCGCGGAGAAGAGAGCGUGAUUCAUUGAACCGCGGCAAAAGGGGAAAGCGCCGAAGUACAGAUAUUCGCUGGAUCUGUGCUGGGCAUAUCGUGAACAACGCUGUGACUGUCACCUAACGGUGGAGUGCUAUCGC
rnacentral:ncRNA from 1 species